rnacentral:rRNA from 1 species
GAAUCUUCCGCAAUGGACGAAAGUCUGACGGAGCAAUGCCGCGUGCGGGAUGAAGCCCUUCGGGGUGUAAACUGCUGUCAGGGUUCAGCAACACAAUGAGCAGAUCCAAAGGAAGAGCCGACUAACUCUGUGCCAGCAGUCGCGGUAAUACAGAGGGCUCGAGCGUUGCGCGGAGUCACUGGGCUUAAAGCGUACGUAGGCGGGCGUGCAGGCAUCGUGUGAAAUCCCCCGACUCAACCGGGGAACUGCUCGGUGAACCGCACGUCUUGAGGUCAGUAGGGGCGGUCGGAACGAUAGGUGGAGCGGUGAAAUGCGUAGAUAUCUAUCGGAACGCCAAAGGUGAAGACAGGCCGCUGGGCUGAUUCUGACGCUGAGGUACGAAAGCGUGGGGAGCAAACGGG